GCCUAGGUGGCUCAGUGGUUGAGCAUCUGCCUUUGGCUCAGGUUGUGAUCCCAAGACCCUGGGAUCAAGUCCCACAUUGGGCU
rnacentral:tRNA from 1 species